rnacentral:tRNA from 1 species
GAGGGGCUAGUUAAAGGUUUUGUGUAAUAAUGAUGGAUUGUCAGUCCUUUGUUGCUUAGUGGAGCGUCUCUUG